rnacentral:rRNA from 1 species
GAUGAACGCUGGCGGCGUGCCUAAUACAUGCAAGUCGAGCGAACAGACGAGGAGCUUGCUCCUCUGACGUUAGCGGCGGACGGGUGAGUAACACGUGGAUAACCUACCUAUAAGACUGGGAUAACUUCGGGAAACCGGAGCUAAUACCGGAUAAUAUAUUGAACCGCAUGGUUCAAUAGUGAAAGACGGUUUUGCUGUCACUUAUAGAUGGAUCCGCGCCGCAUUAGCUAGUUGGUAAGGUAACGGCUUACCAAGGCAACGAUGCGUAGCCGACCUGAGAGGGGGAUCGGCCACACUAGAACUGAGACACGGUCCAGACUCCUACGGGAGGCAGCAGUAGGGAAUCUUCCGCAAUGGGCGAAAGCCUGACGGAGCAACGCCGCGUGAGUGAUGAAGGUCUUCGGAUCGUAAAACUCUGUUAUUAGGGAAGAACAAAUGUGUAAGUAACUAUGCACGUCUUGACGGUACCUAAUCAGAAAGCCACGGCUAACUACGUG